ensembl:lncRNA
UGUACGUAGCGCUCCCUAGCUUUGUGACCGCUCUGUAACGCCCCCUCUAGUUACACUGUCAAAAAGACUGUGAGGUCGUUUCUCAAGUAGUCUCUAAAGGGUGGUGAAGAUCUACGUUAAUGAGGCAUCGUCCUUACCUUUUGUUGUGAUCUUUGCACUCUAGGGUUGUGGCUCUGAGCAGCGUCUUUGACCAGAUGACUUUGCUGAGACGGCAGGAGCUGGCCCCAGUCCUGUUGGGCUACCUGAAGCAGAGACACGCCUCGGGUAGGUCCAGUGAAGGUGGUGCUUUUUUGUGUCGUGUGCCUAAGAGAAAAGGCCUGUGGUGCCCUGGCUUUAUGAAUGUCUGCGUCUCCUAAUGAGUGUUUCCCGUGCAUCAUCGUUGCAGGCUCACCUUGUGGGUCCGACACAAGCAGCCUCAGUGCUUGGCUGGAGGAGAGCUUUGGCAAAUUCUCCAUCUAUGUGGAUUACAACGACCUGCGUGAGAUCAAUGCAGGCUUUGGCAGCGUAAGCGGACCGCCGUGAUACCCAUUUGUUCCCGUGACUGUUUUGGCCAACCAUGUUACGUCUAAUGAUUUUGUUGUUUUCUCCCCUGAAGUUUGAGGCGCUGGACAUUCUGAGCUCUUCUCAGGUCGCUCAACUGACGCUAGAGUCUGGAGCGCUGAACAGCGCGUCUCUGAUAAACAUGGUCUUUGAACGGCUAGAGCACGGCAACUCUUUCCAGAAUGUGGAAGAGUUCUUCGUGGCCCUCCACCAGACCUCACAGGUACGUCCUCGUGACUAAGAUGGCAAGCCAUAUUUUGGGCCUGAGUUGGCCAUUUUAAAUUGCAUUCGUGACACAAUUCGAGUUGUGACGUUCGCUUUCUGUGUGUCAUUCCCUCCAGGAUUUGGACAUCAGUCCUGUGGUGAGGGACAUCAUGAUGAAUCGAACCUUCACUAUCAUCAGUCUUCAUUUUGCCGAAUUUGUGACCGGCGACUGGGCUUCCUGGUUCACGGUGAAACUGACGCCUCUCCUUCCCAGCUGGACUGCAGAGAUGCUCCAGACAGCGACCGUACACACCGACUGCAACGGAUACCACAUCAUGGUUGUGGCUCUGAGCAGCGUCUUUGACCAGAUGACUUUGCUGAGACGGCAGGAGCUGGCCCCAGUCCUGUUGGGCUACCUGAAGCAGAGACACGCCUCGGGUAGGUCCAGUGAAGGUGGUGCUUUUUUUGUGUCGUGUGCCCUAAGAGAAAAGGCCUGUGGUGCCCUGGCUUUAUGAAUGUCUGCGUCUCCUAAUGAGUGUUUCCCGUGCAUCAUCGUUGCAGGCUCACCUUGUGGGUCCGACACAAGCAGCCUCAGUGCUUGGCUGGAGGAGAGCUUUGGCAAAUUCUCCAUCUAUGUGGAUUACAACGACCUGCGUGAGAUCAAUGCAGGCUUUGGCAGCGUAAGCGGACCGCCGUGAUACCCAUUUGUUCCCGUGACUGUUUUGGCCAACCAUGUUACGUCUAAUGAUUUUGUUGUUUUCUCCCCUGAAGUUUGAGGCGCUGGACAUUCUGAGCUCUUCUCAGGUCGCUCAACUGACGCUAGAGUCUGGAGCGCUGAACAGCGCGUCUCUGAUAAACAUGGUCUUUGAACGCCUAGAGCACGGCAACUCUUUCCAGAAUGUGGAAGAGUUCUUCGUGGCCCUCCACCAGACCUCACAGGUACGUCCUCGUGACUAAGAUGGCAAGCCAUAUUUUGGGCCUGAGUUGGCCAUUUUAAAGUGCAUUCGUGACACAAUUCCAGUUGUGACGGUCGCUUUCUGUGUGUCAUUCCCUCCAGGAUUUGGACAUCAGUCCUGUGGUGAGGGACAUCAUGAUGAAUCGAACCUUCACUAUCAUCAGUCUUCAUUUUGCCGAAUUUGUGACCGGCGACUGGGCUUCCUGGUUCACGGUGAAACUGACGCCUCUCCUUCCCAGCUGGACUGCAGAGAUGCUCCAGACAGCGACCGUACACACCGACUGCAACGGAUACCACAUCAUGUACGUAGCGCUCCCUAGCUUUGUGACCGCUCUGUAACGCCCCCUCUAGUUACACUGUCAAAAAGACUGUGAGGUCGUUUCUCAAGUAGUCUCUAAAGGGUGGUGAAGAUCUACGUUAAUGAGGCAUCGUCCUUACCUUUUGUUGUGAUCUUUGCACUCUAGGGUUGUGGCUCUGAGCAGCGUCUUUGACCAGAUGACUUUGCUGAGACGGCAGGAGCUGGCCCCCAGUCCUGUUGGGCUACCUGAAGCAGAGACACGCCUCGGGUAGGUCCAGUGAAGGUGGUGCUUUUUUUGUGUCGUGUGCCUAAGAGAAAAGGCCUGUGGUGCCCUGGCUUUAUGAAUGUCUGCGUCUCCUAAUGAGUGUUUCCCGUGCAUCAUCGUUGCAGGCUCACCUUGUGGGUCCGACACAAGCAGCCUCAGUGCUUGGCUGGAGGAGAGCUUUGGCAAAUUCUCCAUCUAUGUGGAUUACAACGACCUGCGUGAGAUCAAUGCAGGCUUUGGCAGCGUAAGCGGACCGCCGUGAUACCCAUUUGUUCCCGUGACUGUUUUUGGCCAACCAUGUUACGUCUAAUGAUUUUGUUGUUUUUCUCCCCUGAAGUUUGAGGCGCUGGACAUUCUGAGCUCUUCUCAGGUCGCUCAACUGACGCUAGAGUCUGGAGCGCUGAACAGCGCGUCUCUGAUAAACAUGGUCUUUGAACGGCUAGAGCACGGCAACUCUUUCCAGAAUGUGGAAGAGUUCUUCGUGGCCCUCCACCAGACCUCACAGGUACGUCCUCGUGACUAAGAUGGCAAGCCAUAUUUUUGGGCCUGAGUUGGCCAUUUUUAAAGUGCAUUCGUGACACAAUUCCAGUUGUGACGUUCGCUUUCUCUGUGUCAUUCCCUCCAGGAUUUGGAAAUCAGUCCUGUGGUGAGGGACAUCAUGAUGAAUCGAACCUUCACUAUAAUAAGUAUUCAUUUUUGCCGAAUUUGUGAACGGCGAACUGGGCUUCCUGGUUCACGGUGAAACUGACGCCUCUCCUUCCCCAGCUGGACUGCAGAGAUGCUCCAGACAGCGACCGUACACACCGACUGCAACGGAUACCACAUCAUGUACGUAGCGCUCCCUAGCUUUGUGACCGCUCUGUAACGCCCCCUCUAGUUACACUGUCAAAAAAAGACUGUGAGGUCGUUUCUCAAGUAGUCUCUAAAGGGUGGUGAAGAUCUACGUUAAUGAGGCAUCGUCCUUACCUUUUGUUGUGAUCUUUGCACUCUAGGGUUGUGGCUCUGAGCAGCGUCUUUGACCAGAUGACUUUGCUGAGACGGCAGGAGCUGGCCCCAGUCCUGUUGGGCUACCUGAAGCAGAGACACGCCUCGGGUAGGUCCAGUGAAGGUGGUGCUUUUUUGUGUCGUGUGCCUAAGAGAAAAGGCCUGUGGUGCCCUGGCUUUAUGAAUGUCUGCGUCUCCUAAUGAGUGUUUCCCGUGCAUCAUCGUUGCAGGCUCACCUUGUGGGUCCGACACAAGCAGCCUCAGUGCUUGGCUGGAGGAGAGCUUUGGCAAAUUCUCCAUCUAUGUGGAUUACAACGACCUGCGUGAGAUCAAUGCAGGCUUUGGCAGCGUAAGCGGACCGCCGUGAUACCCAUUUGUUCCCGUGACUGUGUUUGGCCAACCAUGUUACGUCUAAUGAUUUUGGUGUUUUCUCCCCUGAAGUUUGAGGCGCUGGACAUUCUGAGCUCUUCUCAGGUCGCUCAACUGACGCUAGAGUCUGGAGCGCUGAACAGCGCGUCUCUGAUAAACAUGGUCUUUGAACGCCUAGAGCACGGCAACUCUUUCCAGAAUGUGGAAGAGUUCUUCGUGGCCCUCCACCAGACCUCACAGGUACGUCCUCGUGACUAAGAUGGCAAGCCAUAUUUUUGGGCCUGAGUUGGCCAUUUUUAAAGUGCAUUCGUGACACAAUUCCAGUUGUGACGGUCGCUUUCUGUGUGUCAUUCCCUCCAGGAUUUGGACAUCAGUCCUGUGGUGAGGGACAUCAUGAUGAAUCGAACCUUCACUAUCAUCAGUCUUCAUUUUUGCCGAAUUUGUGACCGGCGACUGGGCUUCCUGGUUCACGGUGAAACUGACGCCUCUCCUUCCCAGCUGGACUGCAGAGAUGCUCCAGACAGCGACCGUACACACCGACUGCAACGGAUACCACAUCAUGUACGUAGCGCUCCCUAGCUUUGUGACCGCUCUGUAACGCCCCCUCUAGUUACACUGUCAAAAAAAGACUGUGAGGUCGUUUCUCAAGUAGUCUCUAAAGGGUGGUGAAGAUCUACGUUAAUGAGGCAUCGUCCUUACCUUUUGUUGUGAUCUUUGCACUCUAGGGUUGUGGCUCUGAGCAGCGUCUUUGACCAGAUGACUUUGCUGAGACGGCAGGAGCUGGCCCCAGUCCUGUUGGGCUACCUGAAGCAGAGACACGCCUCGGGUAGGUCCAGUGAAGGUGGUGCUUUUUUUGUGUCGUGUGCCUAAGAGAAAAGGCCUGUGGUGCCCUGGCUUUAUGAAUGUCUGCGUCUCCUAAUGAGUGUUUCCCGUGCAUCAUCGUUGCAGGCUCACCUUGUGGGUCCGACACAAGCAGCCUCAGUGCUUGGCUGGAGGAGAGCUUUGGCAAAUUCUCCAUCUAUGUGGAUUACAACGACCUGCGUGAGAUCAAUGCAGGCUUUGGCAGCGUAAGCGGACCGCCGUGAUACCCAUUUGUUCCCGUGACUGUUUUGGCCAACCAUGUUACGUCUAAUGAUUUUUGUUGUUUUUCUCCCCUGAAGUUUGAGGCGCUGGACAUUCUGAGCUCUUCUCAGGUCGCUCAACUGACGCUAGAGUCUGGAGCGCUGAACAGCGCGUCUCUGAUAAACAUGGUCUUUGAACGCCUAGAGCACGGCAACUCUUUCCAGAAUGUGGAAGAGUUCUUCGUGGCCCUCCACCAGACCUCACAGGUACGUCCUCGUGACUAAGAUGGCAAGCCAUAUUUUGGGGCCUGAGUUGGCCAAUUUUAAAGUGCAUUCGUGACACAAUUCCAGUUGUGACGGUCGCUUUCUGUGUGUCAUUCCCUCCAGGAUUUGGACAUCAGUCCUGUGGUGAGGGACAUCAUGAUGAAUCGAACCUUCACUAUCAUCAGUCUUCAUUUUGCCGAAUUUGUGACCGGCGACUGGGCUUCCUGGUUCACGGUGAAACUGACGCCUCUCCUUCCCAGCUUGACUGCCGAGAUGCUCCAGACAGCGACCGUACACACCGACUGCAACGGAUACCACAUCAUGUACGUAGCGCUCCCUAGCUUUGUGACCGCUCUGUAACGCCCCC